GUCGCGAACGGUACUCCAAUCCGGACGGUGCAACGUCAGUUAGCUGAAUGAAACAGAGAAAGAGAGCUUCGAAAAUCGUGAAUAAUUUUGUGAACAGUGCCAAACAUUACUGAGAAAAAUAAACAACAAUAAAAAUCAGUGAAAUAUUCAGAGGAAGAAUAAAAACUUUAACAGCAAAAAAUCUGCACACAUUUUGUGAGGUGUCUGAAGCAACAGCCGAAAGGAAGCAGAAACGAAGCCCGAAGCCAGCUCGUGGAUGUGCAUGAGCCGAAUGCCAUCGUCGUUGUCGUCGUCGUUCUCGUCCUCCGUGUGGGUGUUUAUUUAACACAGUUCCUCGUGCGCCGCCCGUUCAGUUCGUGUCCGAAGUCCGUGCCGUACGCGCUGCCUCAGACCUCCAAACCAAAGCGCGUGAAUUCGUUGAAAGCAGAGAGACAGUGACAGAGACGUAAACGUAAACGUAGAUAGUCAGGUGUCGCGUGUGAAAUGUGAAGAGUCGCUCAAGAUCGGUGCAUCCGUAACCAAAUGUCGCUCAACGUUAGCCUUGCUCAAGCUCCGCACUCACACAUCACACACACGUAGUGGACCAAUAGUGCACCAAUCAUCCAGUAAUCCGCAACAGUCGCGAGUGCCCGAACGAGAACUCUAUAGUGCAUCAAGAACCAAGGAAGACAAUACAAUGUGCUCCGUGGGGAACCUGCGCCCCCAAGGCGCAGACACUGGCCGCAAUCGCCGCCGCUCACACAGCUCCCACGGCCCCCUCAAUCGCCUUAGCCGCCUGAGCGCUCUGCUCCUCGUGCUGGGCGCGCAAAUAAUUUAUGUGGAAUAUGCUCGGGCGGAUUAUGAGAACACUUGGAAUUUAUAUUACGAGCCGCCCUGCUGCUCGGGAACAGCUGCCGGCCAUCAUCUGCGGCACCACAAAGAUCACGUCAAGGACUUUAGCUGCGGCCCACUGCACUACAGAACCUUCUAUAUGGAUGAGCGCAACAAUGCCCUCUAUGUGGGCGCCAUGGAUCGCAUCUUUCGGUUGAAUCUGCGCAACAUAAGCCAAUCGAUUUGCGAGCGCGAUGUCCUCAUCCUGGAACCCACCGGCUCUGACAUCCUCAACUGUGUGUCCAAGGGGAAGCGGGAGAAGGUGGAAUGCCGCAACCACAUACGCGUCAUCCAGCCAAUGAACUUCCAUGGACACCGACUCUAUGUGUGCGGCACGAAUGCCCACAAUCCCAAGGAUUACGUUAUAAAUGCAAACUUAACACAUUUACCCAGAUCCCAGUACGUGCCCGGCGUUGGCCUGGGCAUUGGCAAGUGUCCCUACGAUCCUGCUGACAACUCAACCGCCGUCUAUGUGGAGAACGGAAAUCCCUUUGGUUUGCCCGCACUGUAUGCCGGCACCAAUGCAGAAUUCACCAAGGCCGAUUCGGUUAUAUUCCGCUCGGAUCUCUACAAUCUGACCAACGGCCGCAAGGAGGCAAACUUCAAGCGAACAGUGAAAUACGACUCCAAGCUAUUGGACAAACCGAACUUUGUGGGCUCGUUUGAGAUUGGGGAAUUCGUGUACUUCUUUUUCCGCGAACAUGCCGUGGAGUAUAUAAACUGCGGCAAGGAGGUCUACUCCCGUGUGGCGCGCGUCUGCAAGAAUGAUCGCGGCGGCAAAUACAUGAUCAGCCAGAAUUGGGCCACGUAUCUGAAGGCACGCAUGAACUGCAGCAUCUCCAGCGAGUUCCCCUUCUACUUCAACGAGAUCCAGUCGGUCUACAAGAUGCCCAGCGACGACAGCAAGUUCUAUGCCACCUUUACAACGAAUACGAACGGUCUGAUUGGUUCCGCUGUCUGCAGCUAUGACAUCAGGGACAUCAAUGCGGCCUUUGAAGGAAAAUUCAAGGAGCAGGCCAGCUCGAACAGCGCCUGGCUGCCCGUACUCAACCAGAAAGUGCCGGAGCCACGUCCGGGCACAUGCCACAACGACACCGCCACACUGCCGGACUCCGUGUUGAAUUUCAUACGUAAACAUCCGCUAAUGGACAAGGCGGUCGAUCAUGAAUUUGGCAAUCCGGUCUUCUUCAAGCGAGACAUAAUACUCACCAAGCUGGUGGUGGACAAGAUACGCAUCGACAAGCUGAACCAGGAGUUUCUGGUGUACUUUGUGGCCACCAGCUCGGGGCAAAUCUACAAGAUUGUCCAGUUCAUGCACUACGGCCAGCGCCACUCCAAUCUGAUUGACAUCUUCGAGGCCUCGCCGCACAACGAACCCAUCCGCGAACUGAUUCUCAGCCAGAAGACGGGCUCCCUCUACCUGGCCACCGAUCACCAGGUGAAGCAGAUCGACAUUGCCAUGUGCGCCCGCCGCUACGACAGCUGCUUCCGUUGUGUGGCCGAUCCAUACUGCGGCUGGGACCAGGAGGUGAAUGCCUGCCGUCCCUACCAGCUCGGACUCCUUCAGGAUGUGGCCAACGAGACGUCGGGCAUCUGCGAUACGAGUGUGCUCCGCAAGCGUGUCACCUCCUCCUACGGCCAGACUCUGCAUCUCUCGUGCUUCGUCAAGAUGCCAGAGGUGCUGAGGAAGAAGCAGACGCGAUGGUAUCAUCACUCCACGGAGAAGGGACGCUAUGAGGUACGCUACACGCCCACCAAAUACAUUGAAACGAACGAGGGCGGCUUGGUCCUGCUGGCGGUUAAUGAGGGCGACGGCGGCCGCUAUGAUAGCUACUUGGAUGGCACCCUGCUCUGCAGCUAUGGGGUAACCGUGGACGCGCACAGAUGCUCGCCUCCAUCGCAGAAGCAGGACUACCAGAAGAUCUACUCGCAUUGGUGCAACGAAUUCGAGAAAUACAAAUCGGCCAUGAAACAAUGGCAGGCCAAACAGGAGCAAUGCGGCCUCAAGGACAAGGCAGGAUCUGUCAGCAGCAAUGGCAAACAUGUCAACGAUGUGUUCAGCAAUGAUGCCCUGGUCUGACCCAGAAAGUACUUAUAUAGCUCUGAGUUCUUGUCGUCGUCAGCGUCGGAGGGAGGCGUGCCGCCCGCCCACCACAAACUGUACAUUUUCGUGUUCGUGCUUGCCAUAUUUGCUCGUUUCUAAAGUUUCUAGUUCAAAUGUAAAUGUGCGAAGGAAAUGAAGCAAAACCAAACACAGUAAGCAGAAGGAAGAAGAUGGAGAUGAAGAUGCCAGGAUGGGAAAAAUCAUGUGACAAGAGCCGAGCAGAAACCAACUACAAAGACUGAAAUUUUUAAGCUUUUAGCAUCGACAAUAUUUCGGAUAAUUUCAAUGAGUUUUUUGAUCACACAUUCGUUACGUUUGCCUUUCCGUUUCCGUUCGUUUUGAGAUGUUGUCAGCGUCAAACAUUGAUUGAUUUCGACAUUAACUAACUGAUAUACAAAGAUGGAGUAAACGAUAAAAGUUACUAGAAAAAGGAUCCUGCCAUAAAUCAAAUGGAAAUUACGGUUUUACACACACACACACACACAGAAUACACUCUCCGACACAGAGAAUCUCUAUAUCUAUUUCGAGCUACGGUUAAGGAUUAAAAACCACCUAAAGUGAGAAUCUGACAAUUAUAUACAUACAUACAUAGCUCACAUGAUGAUGAUGAUGAUAAUGAUGAUCACUUUUAACAUUAAUUUCCAUUUAGUUAUGUUUUCGAGAACUCGUCGCUUGGCCAUUUUGGGUUUUUGGGGUUGGGAAGAUCUUAAACGAAUUUGUAUAUUACUUAGCAAUAUUUGUUUAACUAAACAUAGACUAAGCUAUACGUAUACAUUACAAUAUAUACAUAUACUCGUACGUACAUGCAUAUGUACAUGUAUGUAUUUGAAUAUCUGCCCAAUGUUUAGGUCAUAGACAAGUACGGAACCAACUUAUACUAUAUAGCCAAAACAGAACAGAACAGAGCAGAAAGAGAAACAGAAUCAGAAUCCAUGACGCACAGCAGAUAGGUAAAGAGGAUUAUGGAUCGAGGAUAAUGGUGGAUGUUGUAUAUAGUAGAACUGCUUUAGUUGAUAAGAUAUUUAACCAGACAUUGAUUUCUACGUUUCUACAAUUCGAUUUUGAUUUUGAACGAUUCGCUAUUUGGCAUUAACUCGCUCUUGUAUAGAUUGUGCGUUGGCCUGUAAUGUUUAUGAUAAGCAAUAAAUAUAUAGUUAUACAUACAUAUAUUAACGUCUAGAUAACCUCUAGUGCUAACCAUAAAUACAUAGAUAUCGUACAUAAAGUUACUGCAUUGAGACCAGCAUCCAACAUGCUCAUGAGAUUACUUAACCCCUAGCUGUAGGUUAGUUGGUGUGGCAAAUAUGUACGUUUUUAUAGAAAAAACGAACUAAAAAAGUAACUCAGACACACGAUACAAAUGCAUUUAGUAAGACAUAUGUAUUUUAUGGCUCAGAGGCAACAGUAGGCAGAGGGAUAAGCAUAUCCCUAAUACGAAGGAAAUACUUUGAAAAAGCCAUAAAAAGAGCAUAAGCCAUGGAAAAACUAAACGCUUUACAGAACAGUUAAACCGAAAAGGUACGAGUAUUUGCAGAAAAAUAGAGGAAAACAAAAUGAAUGGGACACUAACUAAACCAUUAUCCCACACACAAAAACACACAACACACUCACACAAACAAUAUUUUUCUAAAGAUUUUCUCAGCAAAAUUUUAAAUGUUUCCCAACCGAAAAAUAGGAAAAAUAUAACCAACAUUUUUAUCGUUGCAUACUAAAAUAAUAAAUACUACAAAGAAAAACAAAAACAAAAAACUAUGGAUAAUGUUUAAAAGCUACUAAUGCUCUGAGCUUCUAACUUUAAUGAAUCAAAUGAUUUUUGUUGUCGCCUUUGGUAGUUUUUGUGUUCGAGAAUUUUAUUGUAAAUAAUUUGAAGAUUAUGUGAAAUGUUUUGUAUGACAAUCACAUGAUGUUGAGUAAAAAGAUAUUGAAAACAAGAGAAAAAACUGACAGAAAACAGAAUUCAAUUGCCAUGAUGGCAAUUAAAGAUGGAAAUUAAUAUUAAUUGAGUACUUAAUACACAAUUUAUUGUAAAAAUAGUAAUAACUAAUAAUAAAAUAUUCGCAAUUUAUAUACACACAUACACAAACAAAAACACACACAGACACAAAAACAAACAGCAAUAAAUACAUACAUAGAUAAACCACUUUUACAAAGUAUUCAUACAAUAAACGAGAAUUUGCGCUUAAAUUACAAAAAUUCAAAUGUAGUUCAAUUCGAGCUAUUUGAAAAAAAAAAAUGCAAAUUGAUGAUUCAAGAGCUAUAAAAUAUUCCAACAAAAACAAAAAAACCCAAACGGAAAACAGAAUAAUUCAAUGAAAUAAAACAAAACAAAACAAAUUAGCUGUAAACACAUAUAAAGAAAAUGCAGUAAAUAAAUGUGAUAAGAUUCUUUAAUAAGCAAAAAACGAAAGUUCGA